AGUAAGAAAGAGGAGAGAACUGGGUUGGUCCAAGGCCAUCUGCAGAACUGUCCGGCAAGUAUUUGUUGCCAAGGUCCUGCAGUUCCUUUGCCUAUGGUUCUUUCCUUCCCUUAAGACGCCCAGCACUUGCCUGGCCAGAUUACAUUGUACCUUGACCCUAGUUACUGGUCUUGGGAUUGGGGAAGAAGGGAUUGAUCUUGAGAAGGGUGCAUGCUUUCUUUAAAGGAGAAGCCUCCGGAUCUUCUUUACAUCUUCAAGCAUGGAAGCAGCACUGACUUUUAACAGGGAAGAAUGGGCCACUUCUGCAGACCCAGGAGGUUCAGAGCAAUCUGAGAAUGCAAAAUUUUUUAGCGCAUCAACACGGAUAUCCCUAUUUCAAGUAUCAGGCUCCUAUUCGUUCCCAAUUAGGAUCCUGACUUUGGCAUAGCAAACCUACUGGAGUUGAGCAUCCAACCUUCUCUGGAAUUCUACUAUUCUUAUGUCUAAGUCCUAGAAAACAGUGUCCAUGCCGCCAUCUUGAAAGCAGAGACCAGGCCCACACCAUACAGACCCAACCUGCCAGUACUUUGAUCUUGGACUUUCCAACCUCCAGAAUGGCGAAUUCCUCGGUUCAAGGAGGCCCACCAGGUGGCUGUCUGGGGGUCAUCAAAGGUGACCUGGAAAGCCCUUUUCUGCACUGGAGACAUGACGAUGGAAUAGGGACAACAUCUCUUAACAUCAGGAAGGUUACCAGAGGUGACUUGCUGGGAGAAAAGGUGAGAGCAGGGAAGAGAACAUGUUUACUAUUUGGGGGCAUAGUACAUUUGGAACAGCGACCCUGGGGGUCAGUUAUAAGGCACACAGAUGAGCAGAAGGAUCCCUAGAGAGCUUUACUCCCAGACAGGAGGAGAUGGAGACGUGUGUGUACAUGAACUUGUUCACUGAGAGCAGCUGUGAUGAUGUACCUAAAAUCGGAAAUGUGGGUAGGAGUGACAGUGUGCCAGAGCCUAAGACAGGGGUGGUUGGUGGGUCCUUUGGGGAGCAACAAGGGGGUAGUGGCUGCAGCCCCUCCCCAGAGUGUGUGUGUGUGUGUGUGUGUGUGUGUGUGAGAUGGUGAGUGAAGGGGAAGGGAUCGUGGUAAUGCAUGAUAUUGCAAGGGUGAUGGGAGCAUUGGCUUGCUUCUUCAUCCUUACAGCUGGGAUUGAUGCAUAUUUUCCCACCUGCCUCUUUGUUAAAAUCUUUGCCUUUUUAAGUAGCUGAGAAGGAGGGCGGGGGUAGUGUCAUGUUGUGAGCUGAGUCACAGGAAACUUAGGCUGUCAGACACAUAUGGGGAAAGGGUGGCAAUCUGAGAGGUAGGAAGAGGAUAUUUCGGGGGGAGAGUGGAGGAAGCUCAGUGAAAGGGAGCUCGGUGGCUCCUGCUCUACCAAGCAUUUUCUAGCUGGAUGGUGAUCACGUAGGUCUUUCUGAUCUCCUCAGCCAGGUUGCAGCUGCCGUAGUGGUCUGAUAGCCAAUAGCUCACUUCCCGUCCUUUCUGUUCUCCUUCCUGUAGGGUAGAGAGUAGUUCGUGGGGAAUGUGGUUGGAAGAGCUGGGAAACGUCUGCUACUGUGGGGCACAGGCUUCCAAUUAGAACAUGUGGCUGGAUCUAGUGCAGGGUGGGCCCUGCUCCAUCACCACCCUUGAUAUGAAGUGGCAUUGUGCGCCUUCGUCUUGUUUUCCCUAAAUAAGAAGUGCUUUUUACUUAAGAAAUUCAGCCAAGAAUUCUGUUGCCUCUGGUCCUCGUCUCCAUGUCCUUACAUGCCCCACGGCUUGAAGGCGAGGAGCUCUCUCUUCAGGGCCUGCGUUGUUCUCGUAACUUCCGUCCUGCUAUGCCAAUCCUCAAGCCUAGGGAAAAGUGACUGGAGAGACUUAAGAAAAGAAACUAAA